GACAGAGGGUGCAAGCGUUGUUCGGAAUUACUGGGCGUAAAGCGAGUGUAGGCGGUUUGGUAAGUCGGAUGUGAAAGCCCCGGGCUCAACCCGGGAAGUGCACUCGAUACUGCCAAGCUAGAGUAUCGGAGAGGUUGGUGGAAUUCUCGGUGUAGAGGUGAAAUUCGUAGACAUCGAGAGGAACACCGGUGGCGAAGGCGGCCAACUGGACGAAUACUGACGCUGAGACUCGAAAGCGUGGGGAGCAAACAGG
rnacentral:rRNA from 1 species